ensembl:lncRNA
CAAUGUUUGGGAAAAUAAUUUUUCACAUUAUUAAACUGGCAGAUGCCUUAGAUAAAGCCAUAUUGUUUACAGGAAAUUAUUUCUCUCAAGAAAGAGAUGUUAUCAGAUAACAAAUGAUCCCAACUGACAUAAACUGCAUUUCCUUCAUGGUGCAUGCAGAGCCCAUGCAUUGCUUUCUUGGGAUAGGCUCCCCUCCUUUAAACAUACACAUUAUGGGUGACAGACGGAGCUGACAGCACACAUUCCCGGACUGUCUGAACAGACUCCCACAUCAGAGUUAAUACUCCCCCAUUGCUGACACUCAACUAUUAUAGGAUCACAUGCAAUAUUAAGUAGUUUUUAUUAGCUUCACACAGAAAAGCUUUAAAACAUGAACGAAGCUGGCCAGAACUGGCGUGGCUGCUUAGGAGUACACAAGUACUAGAAGCACAACUUUAGUGAACAAAACAGACAAGAAAAAUCGAUAUCAACAUACUUUUAUUGAUAUAAGUUUGGAUUUUUACCAUCAGGAAAACGAAAACAGGUAGAAUCAAACAGAAGAGUAAAUGCAUGCUUUCAAAAGUAACAAAAAAAUACAUCAACUGUGCCUGUGUUCGAGACAAAUGUGAUGACUGACACUACACGACUUACCUUUGCCACCAUAUGUCAGUAGAGCUUCCGGACCAUCGUAUCAAUCACACACAUGGUGGCCUUUUCCAGCUGUUUACCCACCCUUGCUUUAUGCUGUCACGGGGGCCAUGGGACUGUGACUUAUCUGUCCAAAAAUCACCGACACAGUGGAUGAAAAACGAGCGUGCUUCAGAAGUUUUAAGUUUGGUGGUGCUAUGCUUAGAGUCUUUAGAACUAUUCUAGGUUAGAAGUCUGACUUUUUGUUUUCCUUUAGCACAACCCAGAAUGGUGAGCAUUAACCAACAGCUACUUUUCACAUCAGCACCUGCAGCAAAGCUGUACAAGUAAGGAUGCACACACACGUCCAGUCAGUUACUGAAUCCUCUCCUUAAGCCAAAGCAAAAGGGAACAAACGCACGUGAGUUUGACUUACCUUCAGAGCUCUCUUUCCAUGCUAUUGGUGCUGUCACUCUUUCAGAGCGGGCUGUCUCCCCUACGAGCAGCCAACCUGCUUGGAAUCCUUCAGCAAGAGUAUCGCUGUUGUCUAACAUGCAUUUAUGCAAGGAACGGCUACACUUCAGCUGUUUCCCAGACCACUACAGAAUUCACAGUGCUGCAAAUCCAAAAUACUCUGAAAAAGCGUAUCUUAAAUCUUAAACUUUCAACAGGUCGUUCACCAAUGUCACCGUUUAACGUUUUUCUCCUAUCUUUUAAUAGUCACGUCAAAAAGUCAAGAUUUUCCUUUGAUAAAACCACUCAGACUACUGUUUUGUACCUAUUUGUAACAUGAAUUUUACAUCUCAAGUGCAUUUAAACCCACUGAAACCCCACAUACACACCCACACCCAGUCUGCUCACACUGCUUACUCGCUACCCCCACAAUAGCACUUAUUUCCAGACAAACGGUGCUUGCUGAGAGGAGUCUUUGCACCUUUUGACUGGUGGUAAUGUUGAUUUGAGGAUUCCUUCUUGCUGUCGAACCCUACUGCACGAUGCCAUGGCUACAUCAGCAUGGCUGCAUGUCAUGCCAGCCAGAGCAGGUGGAAAGAAGCAUCUCCAAUAGCAACGGAGUGAAGUUAGUGAUGCCGUGGGGCACUUAACUGGAGAAUAAAAUAGAAAGAAAUGCAGACUGUUCUGCAGGUAAGGUUCCCCUUCAACACAGGAUCUCUUCUGAAGAGGACAACUCACUUCCCCAAGGUUUCCCUGGCUCACUUCAACUGAAAAACUCAGAGGUCUGCACCAACUGAACAGGUGACAUUAGUUCAAAAAAGCAAAGUUUUUAAACCAUGCAUGCACAUACACAGUAAUAUCUGAUGGUACUGCACUGUUCACACUAUGAAGUUCUGUGUAAAUACAGAACUUCUGAUGCAUUCUUUUGCAUGCAAUUGAUUGCAGUGCCAUUUAUUUUUUUAGACCUACCCAGGACUUCUGAUUAAAAGACUUCUUCAGCUUGGAAACAAAAGUAAGCAGCAUAGCAAGACAUAAUAAACACAAGAAAAAUAUAACAAAAAUAUGCUUCUGCAUCUUAAAAGAGAAAAAUCCUCUUGGUAAUUUUCACCUGUUUGCCUUAAGUAGGAAAUACAUCACGCAUCAGGAGCCUAAUAUUAAAGGAAUGCAUUUUCGAAGUGAUCCUCAAAAAAGCAGGUUACACAUCACAACAGUGCAUCCCAUGUCCUUCAUUCUUCUGCCUAAACAAAACCACUCCUGAGCUCUUUUUUGAACACUUAAAUCUAGUAUUUCCUAUUCUCAAAAUGCUGGAGCUCUAUUUCAUUUAACAAUACAUCCACUUAUGGGAUCCUAUCACGUAAUAUAUAACGUAAAAUGAGUUAAAUGGAAAGCUAACGAUCAUCUCCUUCCAUGUUCUUCUAUCCAAGUUUUCCAAAUCAAAGCAAGACAUUCCUCAUUUUGUUAGAUACCAAAACCAACAGAAUUGUUACAUCUAAAUAGUUCUACCACUUAAAUAUUUUAUACUGUUGUCUUUACUUAUCAUUGUCCAACAUAUCCACUCUUCCUCUGACACUGAAGAAGUUGGUCAUAAAUAAGAAAUGGCUGCUGCAAAUUGUUCAAUUUAUGCUCAGUAACAGAUUCUGGGUAUAUUCUUAUCAAGAGUGUAUCCUAGGUGAGCUGAGGACACCAGAAUGUACUUUUCAAGACAAAGAUACAGGAUCACAGUUUAUUUGCAAUCAAAAUGAUACACAAUUUAGCAGUUAAAGACUGCUUUACAAUAAUCAUGCAUUAAGACAUUUAUAGAAAUACAGUACUUCCACAGAAAGAAGAGUAUUUACAAUACAAUAAGCUUAUCUGAAUACCACUGAAAUAUAGCAUUCCGUUCUUGCCAAAAUGUCACUUGAUCAUUCAGGAAAGCUGCCUUUCCAAGUCAGUUGAAGUAAACAUCCACCCCCCAGCCCUACCACUUGUUAUAGCUGAGUGUAGGAUGUUUACAGGAACUAAAAGUUAGCUUAACAAUAUAAAUACAGCAUUGGCUUUCAAGAUAUCCAAAAAUGAAUCGGCACAGGCAUAUUUCAAUACGCUGUGUGCGCUACAGCUUAUGCUACUCAGAAGGCAUUUGCAACAGUUAUUAAAGCUUACUGACGUAAAGUUGGAGCACUGUUUUUUAACAUUUAACCUUAUAAAUAUCAGAACACGGUAAUGUAUUUGUACAGUUUCUAAUACUACAGAGAUAACAGGGAAAAACAGAAUAAAACUAUUCUCACAGCUGCUGGAAUUCACUAUCUCUGUUGCACUUACCUGCCAAGACUCUUGAUGCUUGGAGUAGGCACUUCUAGAAACCUCAAAUGUAAAUCAUUAUCAGAAUUGAUGCUCAACACCAAAAUAUAUAUGGGACAUCAAUAGGGUAGUACAAGCCAGAAAACAGUCCUCAAGGAUGUCCUUCUCAAAUGGUUUGUGCAAAAAUUCAACUCCUGUGGUACCAAAAAUUUCAGCAGUUUCCUUUAUAUGCUAAAUUUUACAGCUUCUAUUGCUACAUUUGCUUGUCUUCCUAGCUGCACUACUAGGUUUUCCUAAACUAACUCCCAUUCUAAAACUGCUUCCAAGGUUCUUUCCCUGCUGUUUCAAUCUUCUUAGUUUUCUCCACACACAUUCUUACUCAGAAUGAUGAGUCAUUUUAAUAGUGAGAGAACAGAACACUAUCAGUUAAGCUUCAACACUUAUUUUAGAUUUCAAAUGUGCAGCUUACUUAGCAUCUAAAGCCUUGAAUAACCAGAACAUUAGCAAACCGGGAAAAAAUGCUUUAUAAACUCUGUCAGCCUUCUCAAAGCUCUUGUCUGAGCAGGUGUUUUGUAGAUUUACUGGGGAGAAGGAACCACAGAUGUGCAGAUUUCUCUUCAUACGCAGAGGCUGGUGGAAGCCUUCUGAACACUUCACAGCUGGUUCUUUGUAUGAAGAAAAAAAACAUGAGCUCAAGCAUUUCUACUGAACACAGCUGCAAGUUCACAGUAAGGGGAGACCUUCAUGAAAACCAGCCUGAAGUUACCGAAGAGUUUGACAUGUUGCUGUUAAGUGGUCAUAAAAACCACAGGCAACUAAUUCAGACUCUAAACAUGCAUCUUCAUAAGCACUCCACUUGCUCAGCAAGCAGGGAUCAUGGUAUUCCAUCUAGCUUCCACUUCCAAACGUCUGCACGUCCAUUCCUACUUGUGCUAGGCAUGACAGUUAUCCAGAAUUAGCAGCACAUUCACAGCUGUGCUGCCAGCCUCUGGACUAGCAACUUCCUCCAUUAGCUAUCUGCCUCCACUAUGAUGUGAGUGCACCAUAAAACAUGAGAAAUUUAUUUAUGUCUCCUUCUAUCAUAAGCAAUAGUUGCAGUCAUCACGUUAACAAGAUGAAGUAAUUAGCUUUGCUGAUGAUUAGGCUGGCAUGUCAAAUUUGCCUCUUCCAUUCCUAAAAUUCAAUGAUUCAACUUAAAUCAUUGUGUAAACACACAAUAUCUGGAAAGACUGCACUUCAUCUGCACGCAGAAAUGUUUGAGAUACGUUCAGAGAUCCUGGCUUUUCAAGCUCUUCACAAGAAAAUCCCAAACAAAAACGCAAUGUAAAAAUGCAGUGCGGGUUUAUUUAUUUCCCAUAGUUACAAACCACUGCAGUUGGCUUUCAUGUAAAGAAGCAUGAUGGCUGUGUUUGAGAUUGUAUUAGUGUGUUUGAGAUUGUAUUAGAUACUAGCACAUAAAUAAAAUUCCACAAGACUGCACUGAUGAACUGCACAUGACUACUCUUAUCUAGCUUGUGAAAAGGCCAAGACAGCACUAACAAAAAUGACUACAAGAUUAACUAUGAGAUAACAUUUACUUUGAUCAUUCAGUGAAAAAUGUUAACAGACAACACUUAAUUCCUUCUAAGUCCAAGUAGUACGUAAAACUAGGGAAUGCCAAGCAUUUCCAGCAAAGAACAUCUGGAAAAAUGACUAGCAUUUGUGUUCUCCUUUAAAAAAAAAAAAAGGAUUUGUAAAUGCUGCUUAUAUUUCUCUUUCUAAUUUGACAAUGUACCCAAGCCAAACAUCAUAUUUAAGACAACAUGUUCUUUAAUAGAAACUGUAUUGUGUAUGAACUACUCCAAAAAUAGAUCAUUGCAGCAGUGCUAUCAGUAAGUUCAGAACCUUUGAUCACCACGCACUGCUGUGCCAGCAGACAGGUGAACCACAUCACAGCAGCUCUGUAUUUACAGUCACACGACUGCCCCAGAAGAAUGGUUGCCCUCAGUUCACAGGUGGCCGUUCAUGACAUGCUUGAGAAUCACUGCCUCUGCACUACUUGUAGUCUAUCCUUUCCAGGCCCAAGGAAUCCUCAUAGUUUUAAGAAACCAGAAAUUUUAUUUUUUUAAAGUAUUUGUAUCUUUGCAUACAAUCUACAGAAUUCCUGUAGCAAAGUUAGAUCUUGUUAACCCUUUUAAUCUAUAUUAACAUACUCUCAAAUAAACUGAACAUAAAAUUUGCCUGCUGAAUGUCAAAGAAUAUGAAACUAACAUUUUCAGAGGUGGAAGACUGGAAAGCUAAGGUAGUGCAGGAAUGAAUUCUGCUGUUGUUGGAGUAGUAAGCACUCAUUUAGGCUAUUCUGCUCCCAUCCUUUACAAAUAAAGAACUAUAGAGAAACAGAAGAAAAGUCCCAGACAAGGUCCAGGAAAUUACAUCAGCAGAACACACUUCCUAGAUCCCUCACUGAGAAAAGUGGAAAGUACUGAAGUUGUGUUGCUGAGUGCUGUUCUCAAUGAACCGAUUACUUUAAGUCAAGAAUUAGUGAAGAGAACUCUGAAGAAGGACUUUCAAAAACUGUUCUUUAUGUGAAAAAUAAUCUUUGUUAAUGGUAGUACAAAACAAGAUGACUGUACCACAAACAACUGUAUACAUUUGGCAUUGUUUUACUACAAACAUACAUCCUGUGCAAUUUUUUUUUAACCUUUAUUGUGGCCUUGGGUUACAUCCAGCUUACAAACAAUAAGAGCACCACCCACUCAUAGGAGAGGCAGAACAUGGAAUUUCAGAAAGCAAAAACAAGGCACAGCAAAUAAAAUAUUUGCUAAGUAUUCAACAAUAUUAAUCAUUUUUCUACAGAUCAGUAAGUAGCAGAUGCCAUUAAAAAAGGUAGUUCAUAAGGUGAGUUUUGUUUAUGUAUAUUUGUACAAGAAAUUAAACACCUCUUGCUGUUAAAUUCCAGAGAGGCAUAGUUCUGUUGCUCAUACCAUGGAGCAGCAGAGAAUUCAGUUCUGAGUGACAUAUAUGCAAUACCUCUGUAUUUCCUGCCUGUUACAGAUUAGCUUGUAAUCAAUCAUACCAGCAAUAUUAAUAAAAAUCAAGUUAACUCACUUGGAGGCAGUUCAGCGUGUCUACAGAAACUACUAGAUAUGUAUCUAUGCAUACAGGUUUAUGACAUCUUUUCCUCCUGAUGCUGUCCAGGUAUAG